CCUACGGGCCGCACCAGUGGGGAAUAUUGGACAAUGGGCGAAAGCCUGAUCCAGCAAUGCCGCGUGUGUGAAGAAGGUCUUCGGAUUGUAAAGCACUUUCGACGGGGACUAUGAUGACGGUACCCGUAGAAGAAGCCCCGGCUAACUUCGUGCCAGCAGCCGCGGUAGUACGAAGGGGGCUAGCGUUGCUCGGAAUGACUGGGCGUAAAGGGCGCGUAGGCGGUUUAUGCAGUCAGAUGUGAAAUCCCCGGGCUUAACCUGGGAACUGCAUCUGAGACGCAUAGACUAGAGGUCGAGAGAGGGUUGUGGAAUUCCCAGUGUAGAGGUGAAAUUCGUAGAUAUUGGGAAGAACACCGGUGGCGAAGGCGGCACCCUGGCUCGAUACUGACGCUGAGGCGCGAAAGCGUGGGGAGCAAACAGGAUUAGAUACCCCUGUAGUC
rnacentral:rRNA from 1 species